rnacentral:rRNA from 1 species
CCUACGGGUGGCAGCAGUGGGGAAUAUUGCACAAUGGGGGGAACCCUGAUGCAGCGACGCCGCGUGAGUGAAGAAGCACCUCGGCGCGUAAAGCCCUGUCAGCAGGGAAGAAAAUGACGGUACCUGACGAAGAAGCCCCGGCUAACUACGUGCCAGCAGCCGCGGUAAUACGUAGGGGGCAAGCGUUAUCCGGAUUUACUGGGUGUAAAGGGGGCGCAGACGGCGGUGCAAGCCAGGAGUGAAAGCCCUGGGCUUAACCACGGAACUGCUUUGGAAACUGCGUGGCUGGAGUGCAGGAGGGGUAGGCGGAAUUCCUGGUGUAGCGGUGAAAUGCGUAGAUAUUAGGAGGAACACCGGUGGCGAAGGCGGCUUGCUGGACUGUAACUGACGUUGAGGCUCGAAAGCGUGGGGAGCAAACAGGAUUAGAUACCCGAGUAGUC